rnacentral:rRNA from 1 species
CCAACAGCGAUUCCCUUAGUAGCGGCGAGCGAACAGGGACGAGCCCAGCGCCGAAUUCCGUGUCCCAAAGGGCAUUCGGAAAAUGUGGCGUUUAGGAGGAAUCUCUCCGAAGGCAGAUGGUGUCGCAAGUCCCCCUGAAUGGGGCUGUGAUCCAUAGCGGGUGCGAGGCCCAUAGCUGGUACCGUCUCCUUCGGGCGUCGCCUCCUUGGAGUCGGGUUGCUUGGGAGUGCAGCCCUAAUUGGGUGGUAAACUCCACCUAAGGCUAAAUACGUCCGUGAGACCGAUAGCAAACAAGUACCGUGAGGGAAAGUUGCAAAGAACUUUGAAGAGAGAGUUCAAGAGUACGUGAAACCGCUCAGAGGCAAACGGGUGGGCCCACGAAAGCCAAAUGCGGGGGGAUUCANCCGAGAGAACGAAGGGGCAAGACUGGCUGUUCANACGGACCGUGCCAGGCCGGGUCANNNNNNNNNNNNNNNNNNNNNNNNNNNNNUGGGCAGGACGAAGCCAGAGGAAACUCUGGUGGAGGUCCGCNGCGGUUCUGACGUGCAAAUCGAUCGUCAGACCCGGGUAUAGGGGCGAAAGACCAAUCAAACCAUCUAGUAGCUGGUUCCCUCCGAAGUUUCCCUCAGGAUAGCUGGCGUUCGAGGGAGAUCAGUCUCAUCCGGUAAAGCGAAUGAUUAGAGGCCUUGGGGCCGAAACGACCUCAACCUAUUCUCAAACUUUAAAUGGGUGAGAAGUCCGGCUUGCCCGACCGAAGCCCGGACGAAAGGAUGAGAGCGCCCANNNNNNNNNNNNNNCGGACAAGGAGAUCGGCCCCUCGGGGUCAAGUGCGGUAACGCAACUGAACUCGGAGAAGUCGACGGGAGUCCCAGRGAGAGUUUUCUUUUCUUUGUAAGGGUUUGGCUCCCUGGAAUCGGUUCGUCCGGAGAUAGGGAUGCURUUCCCGUAAAGCAUCGCGCCUCCUGCGGUGUCCRGAGCGCUCCUGUCGGCCCUUGAAAAUCAGAGGGAGAGAGUGUGAUUUUCUUGCCGGACCGUACCCAUAUCCACAGCAGGUCUCCA